AUCCGCAUCAAAGCAGAAGAGAGAAUAAAAUAUCUUUCUCUCACUCUUUCUCUAACAAAAGUUCUCUGAAGGGGAGGGUGGGGUUUUUUCCUUUUUCUCAUUUUAGUAUUUAUAUUCUCUCUCUUUUAAUGAAAUUUCAACCGUUUUGCUGUUGAAUAUCUGAUUAAUCUAAUUAAAUUAACCAAAUUAAAGAAAAGAAGAUGAAGUAAACAUAAUCGGAAAAUAACCGCAAUGCGGCAAAGUCAUCGGGUCGAAUCGUGUCAGAAGAGAAACAAAACUACAAAUAUACGACUGGAGUAGAUGUUAGACAAGGACAGUAGUAAUGCAACAACACGACACACUUGAACAGAAAUUGGGGAAAUAUUUGAACCGAUUCGAAGAGAGAUGUGCGAUAAAAAUGUAUGACAACGAAGGGGAAGAAAUUGUCACUAGUUUUUCCAAAGUUUUGAUGUACUCCCGGAUGAGGGAUUUUUUAUUUGGGACACGCACACAAGAAUUUCUUCGAUGAUGAACAAAAAUUCCAUAUUUAGCACAAUUCACAAUGGAGAAUUUCGUUUUUUUUUUUGUUUUCAGAUUUUGAAUAAUCCUGCAACUUUACACCACCAACGCACUUAGAAAAAAAUGUUUGAAAAAUUCAAAAAGAAAAAUAAAUAAAUAAAUAAAAGAUUUCAUUUGAGAUCAUUUAUGAGAUUCUUAAAAUCAGAAAGAGAAAACCAAUUUGACUCUCUUCUCGUUUUUAAGAUAUUUCUGCAGUAGUUUACAUGAACAAUUUUUUUUCAACU